GGGCCGGGGCGGGCCGGGGCGGGGAGGCGCCGCCAUGUACGGGCUGGUGCGGGCCCUGCGGCAGGCGGCGACCCCCGGGCGGCUGGCGGCGACCCGGCGAGGGGGCGCCGGGGGACGGCCCUGGGGCUGGGGGCUGGCGCUGGGGCUGGCGCUGGGGGUGAAGGUGCCGGCGGGCUGCGAGGCCGGCGGCGGGCAGGAGGAGGAGGUGACUCCGGCGUCGUCCACUCGGGGCUUCGGCGCGGCCAUCGAGAGGAGCCGGGACCUGCUGCGGAGGAUCAAGGAUGAAGCAGGAAUCCCAGGUAUACUAGUUGGAGUCUCUGUAGAUGGAAAGGAAGUCUGGUCAGAAGGUUUGGGUUAUGCUGAUGUAGAGAAUCGUGUUUUAUGUAAGCCAGAGACGAUCAUGCGAAUUGCUAGUAUUAGCAAGUGUCUUACCAUGAUGGCCAUUGCUAAACUGUGGGAAGAGGGGAAACUGGACCUAGAUGCUCCAGUGCAGAAAUACGUCCCUGAAUUUCCAGAAAAGGUCUACGAGGGUGAAAAGGUCACUAUUACUACAAGACUGUUAGUUUCACACCUGAGUGGGAUUCGUCACUAUGAAAAAGAUAUUGCAAAAGUAAAGGAAGAAAAGGAAAAGGCAAACAGAGCAUUGAAACUAACAAAACCCAAUCAGGAUAAAGAACAAAAAGAGAAGGAUGGUAAAGGCAUUGAAAAAACUGAUUCUGUCAAACCAAAGAAAGCACACGAAGGUGAAGUAAAAAGCCGAAAUUCAAAACCUGGCAAGAGAGAUAAGGAAUUUGAACAGGAGGAGUAUUAUUUGAAGGAAAAAUUCGAAAGUGUGAUUGAGUCACUGAAAAUAUUUAAAAAUGAUCCUUUAUUCUUCAAACCAGGUAGUCAGUUCUUGUAUUCAACAUACGGCUUCACCCUCUUAAGUGCUGUUGUAGAGAGAGUUUCGGGACAAAAAUUUACAGAUUAUAUGCUAAAAAUGUUUCGUGACUUGGAUAUGCUGUCAACUGUACUAGAUGACAAUGAAGCAAUGAUAUAUAACAGAGCAAGGUGUUACGUUUACAACAAAAAAGGACGUCUGGUAAAUGCACCAUAUGUGGACAACUCUUACAAAUGGGCUGGUGGAGGCUUUCUGUCAUCAGUAGGUGACCUUCUGAAAUUUGGAAAUGCCUUGUUGUACAGUUACCAAGCUGGACAAUUUAAAAACAGUAGUGGCAAACUUCUUCCUGGGUACCUCAAACCAGACACAGUCGCAAUGAUGUGGACCCCAGUGCCAAAAACUGAAGUGUCAUGGGACAGGGAUGGUAAAUAUGCAAUGGCCUGGGCUGUAGUAGAGAAAAAGCAACAAUAUGGAUUUUGCAGACAGCAGAGACACUAUGCAUCUCAUACAGGUGGUGCAGUGGGGGCAAGUAGUGUCCUCCUGAUUCUUCCUGAAGAUCUGGACUCCGAAGCCAUAGACACUGCGCUAGUGGCACCACCUAGAGGAGUGAUUGUUAGUAUUAUUUGUAAUAUGCAAUCAGUUUCCCUCAACAGCACUGCCUUAAAGAUUGCAAGGGAAUUUGAUAAAGAAAAACGGGCACAAUACAUAGAUUAAAAAAAAGAGAGAGAUAUGUAACUGAACUCACUGUACUGAAACAUAGAAAAUGGAGAAGGAGAUCAAAUUAGACUCUGAGAUACGUAAGAAUACAUGAGGAAAAAGUAUCAACAGUACACUUAAGUGUGGCACCACUAGCAGAACUUAAGUGUGGCUGGAAUUCAUCUCUCAGGGAAGUUUCUAACCUAUAGAAAAGAAAAAUGUAACAGUCAAAUUUGACUUCCUGCAUUACCUGUGCAAACUAUCCCUUUAGUAGCAAGUUUUCUUUCCUCAUCUAGUUAAGUACUUGACAAAGAUUAAAAAAGAAAAAAAAAAAGCAUUGGUUUCUUGUGCUGAGUACAACAAAAAGUUAUCUACCUUAAAUAUUAAGCUUUCGAACAACUUGCACAUCUUGAUUUGGGCAUGUAAAGACUGAAUUCAUUAUUUUCAAAGUUCAGGUCUGCCAGAACCGUUCACUAUUACUUCAAAAUGGUUUUGGUGUUGACUUUUGUACUUUUACAUACAGCUUUUCUUAUUUGUCUGAAAAGCAAAAAACAAAGCUACCUCCAGAAUGAAGUACCAGAAGUACACUUUUGUCGGAGUUACAGAUUGCAAAGAAUUAGGAAAUGAGCCUAAAAUAAUGUGUGUAAACCAUUUGUUAUUUAUAUAUUCUCACUUCCAUUUUUAUUACACAGAGAACAUGAGAUUACUGUACCGUGGAAAUAAGGGUAUUAUUUCACAGGUGAGUAUUCCCAAAUAGCACGAUAUGAUGAGCUGUCAGUCUCAUUGUUACUGGAUGAUAGACAUGAUUACUUCAGUACUAGAAAUGGUAGCUUGUAGCUGGAAAUGGCACUGUAUUCUGGAAUGUAGAUGUUCCUUAAGAUACAGGAAUAAGGAACUGAAAUCAGUAAAAUUUAAAGCCCAUUCUUGAAGCCAGUAGUAGAAGUCUUGAAGACUUGGAGAUUUUUUUAUUUUAUUUUUUUCCCCAAACCAUCCUUUUCUCCAUUUUGAAGACCUGCCUCAAGGAGUUACUUUUGUACAAAGCCGAACAAGAAAUUGUGGUAGACUUCCAGAUAAGUAUUAUCUUUUUUUUUUUUUUUUUUGAGAGAAAUAAAAUAAUAGCUGAUUAUAUUAAUUUUAUAUAUUCCAUAAUGGCAUGGAAGAUCUCCAUGAUCACCGAAGCUCUUUUUUGCUCACUCUACUUCCCUUGUAGUUAUAUCAGACAUUAUUUCCAUAUUGAGACAAAAAAAAAGCAUCCUUCAGAAAAGGUUUGAAUACUUACAUCUCUGCACCGUUUAGCAGCUCUGCUUUGCUGAAUAUAAAGAGCAAUAUGUCUUGAAUAACAGUUGAGAAAAGAUAGCUUGGGAAAGAUGCAGGUAUGACUAUUCUUUGGCAUUAACUUUGUAGUUGAUGCCUGCGAUGUGAUGAAACACCAUGUUGUCAGCUCUGUUCCCUGUGAUUUUUUUUUUGGCUAAGACAGACAAACCAAGAAAUGUAUUAUUAUUAUUUUGAGGUGUCAGUGCUCUACCUGCAUUUUUAAUUGACAAUAGGGCUGUUUUACUACUCUUCAUAAUUUUAAUUGUUGUUGUGCCUUAAAACAGUAAAAAGUUACACCUGAACUAUUUGUUUUUUCUAGCCCACCAAAAUUUUACUUUUGUAUUUAUGAAUUAUUGGUUGUCUUGGUAUCUCAAGGAUAUCAAAUCAGUAAAGGCAGGCCAGGUAAACCUUUCUGAACAAACUUGCCUUUGGUGAUGCAAUGUAUUCACUUACUCCCAUUUGAAUCUUUAAUAUUGUUUGACAAUUCAAUACUGGAGAUACUCAUCUUCAAAGGCAGCAUUUUUUUCCAGUCUCGAGCACCGACUAGCUGCGUAAACGUGCAGCAGCAGAAGUCAUUGCCCAUUUUACACAGGGAACAAGAGUAAGUAGUUCUGAGUUGUUUCCAUGUUCAAGAAUACCUGAACAGAAGUUGACCAAAUAGAAUAUUUUAAUUAUAGAAACUCUGAAAAGUAACGCUGCUACUUUAGGAUCCAUUGUACUUUAGCAGACUUUUCUUGUAUGAUGCAUUUAUUUUGCAAAUAGUAGUUAUUCUCAGAAACAACUUUGUGUACUUCAGAAGCAACAAAUUUCACUUACUGACCAUUGUGACUGGGUUUAGACAAAAACUGAGCGUGUAGAAGGUGUAGGUCUAUUAUUAUGCUUGUCUACAUAUGACUGAAAGUAAUAAAUGCAAAUGUUUGAAGUAUGUAAGAAGGUGAAUAAUGCUAAGAAGUGUCGUAAGAUACUUUUAACACUAAGAUAUUAACAAGCCUCUUGUUCCCAUCAUAGAAUAUGUUUAGCCACCACCUUCUUAUAUGUGAAGACCACAUUAUUUUUAUCUCCUGUAACUUAAGGCUUUAAAAGUCUGUUAUCAUAUGUACAGUACUGGAAAUGUUAUGGACUCUACAUUUCAUCUUCCAGCACCUGUAGCAAAAUGGGUCAGUAACUUUCUCUGAUGUGGUACUUAAUCAUAAAUCUUAAGUUCUUAUGUUGGGGUCAGGGUGGGAGAGAAAGCAGGUAUGGGUGACUAGAAAUCAGUCUGGCUAUUAGCACAUGUAGUCAGGUCACAAGUGAUUUAAUAUUGCUACUGUCAUCUUUGUUCUGAAACCAGUUAUUUGAUAAACUGGCAUGAAAUGGGGGAAACUGGUAAAUUAAGAGCAACUUAGGUGACUCACAUGCUCUUAAAUUAACUUUUAUUGUGAAAACAGUGUGGUGCUGACAUAAAAGUGUACUUCUUUUAAAGGCAUGUGUACAAAAUUGGUGCAUCUAUUUCUGUAUCAAACACCUACUUUUUGCAUCAGUAAUUAUCAGUAUUCGCUGUGUGAAUUAACUGAAAUAAAACAUGUUUCAAAUGCACUGAAUUACAGUAUCAGUUUUUUUAAUUGACUAGAAAUUUACCGCUUUUUUUAUGAAAAAAAACACAAGUUGAUUAGAAAUUCCCAAUAAUAAGGCCACCAAGACAGGUGAUAUUCUGAAAGAUGUUGACAUGUAACUCAAGACUUCAUGUAGUAAAACGAGAUAAAUGUAAGGUAGCAUGCUUGACGCGUUUAUAAUGGUUUUAAAAAGAAAUUUCCAUUUUUGAAUAGCCAUUUAGACAGGGAUUGAUUUUAAGAGCUAACUAAAAACUUGCUUCCUUAUUGCAAAAAGGUAAUUACUUCCAUGCUUAAUACUGAAAAUAAGCGUGGUUUUACUGUCCUAGUCAUUCACAGCUGUUAGUGUAGUUUGUGUACUGUUGGGUGUAUGACAUAUGCCUUCUCUAUCCUGAAUGCUUUCAGUAUUUUGCAAAACGCUUUCUUUUUUUGUGUGUGUGUGUGUGUAGGAAUCUCAGUAUAGAGUGCAGUUUCUAGACCAGAUUAGAGGAAGGGAAAGCCAUGCAUUCCAGAAAAACAUCUGAACAUAAAUGUCUUCUAAAGUUCCAGUCUACUGGUCUAUCUCUUAGUGGUACAAAUCCUAAACUGAAACAGCAGCUAGGAGUGUUGGUACCUUUUCAACUGCUCAACAGCCUCAUUUCAGGUAUUCUAUCCUCAUAUAAACUACUGCUGUAUAGUAUUACGUGGUACAAGCAGUACUAUAUAUAUGUAUACUAAACUUUGUCCUUUAAAUGUAAGGUGAGUGAAGUCUGGAUUCAUUCUUGAAAUUUCUUGAAACCCUUGUGUGUUUCCAGUGCUUUUCAUAUAUACUAGCUAUUGGAUUAUGGAUCAAGACAUCAGUGUUAUAACCAGUUAUCUGCAUGUAAUUAAGAGUGGUUAUUUGUUCCCUUAAAAUUUAUAUAAAUUUCAAUUACGUAAUGUGAACUGCUUUACAGCACCACUGUUUAAAAAUAAACAAGCAAGCCUCCACUGACUAGCAGUGGCAUGGAAUCAUAUUAACCUAGCCCAAGUACCCUACUCCUUUAAUGGUAACUUUUUUAACCCUUUAAAAUUAGUUCAGAAAUAAAUAACCUUUAGUCUAGUGUUAGCCUGAAAGAAGAUACAAAUCAAAGCAUCAAAUAUCAAGCAUGCUUGAUCAAAACGUAGCUGCCAAGUUCCCUGGCAUAUCUAUCUGCAUAGCUAUUAAAAAAAACAAAAAGCGCAGAAAAACUUGCAGGCUAGGGCCCAGUAACAAUGUUUUUACUAGUUAACUAAGCAUCUUGAAAAAUAAGCUUUCCGGUAUCAGUUUUCAUAAAUCAAAGCUAAAAGACUUGCAGACUAUCACUACAUAAACACACAGUCUUAAUUGGAAUAUCGGGCUUGCUUAAACAGUGCU